AUUUACUCGCCCAUUGAUUACACCGGCAGAUUGUUUUGUUUGAAUUGUAGAAAUUCAGGCCACACGGGCAUUAUUCAUGCCAUGGCAGCUUUGUGUUUGUAUGUUUGUGUGUUUAUUUCUUGUUACCCACUGCAUUGUCUCCGCGUUGAUGAACUUUCUUUGUCUUAUCUAUGCUGAGAUUCAAGAGGUAGCACAAGCACACUUCUAAGCAUCUAAACACUUGUGUGUUGUGUAUCAUGUCAUCGCGAAUAGAAAUAGAAACUUGGCUGUUUGUGUUUACUUUACUCUUGACUCUUUUUUUUACUUUUUAAGUUUUAAUGGAAAGGUGCAAUUAAAAAUUCACUUUUCUUUGGAGGUUAGAAUAGUGAGACGCUUUUAAAACAUCAUCAACGAGAAGAAUGCGGAUAGAAUGUUCGAAAAGAGAAUUUUGAAGAGAAAUUUCAACGUUGUGAUGUUUACAAAAUCGCAGCCGUUUAAUUUUAAGCUUCGCGGAUAAAUAUCAGUAUUUCCACGGACAGGACAGGAUACUGUCAUGUCACACUCGACACGAAAAAUAGGUGCUUAAGAGGCGACUCGAAGCUGUUAAAACAGAUGCGCAAUACUCAUACUUGUGGUAUGUAAUGUAUUGCACACUGUACACUCGUAUAUCUUGUGUGCUGAGAUUGCUUCUCAACGAGAAAACAUUACCUAUCCCACAGUAGUAUGCGUUCCGACGCCCGACGCCUUACGCCAAGUUCGGAGCAAACCCACAUCCGACAUCCUCAUCCUCUUUUUUAUUGGUUUGUCGGGCAGCCACGGAGAGACAUUGAGGUACUUCCGGCGACCCGGCAGAGACAUGAAACGUUGCUUCCGGCCGAGUAGCUGUCGAGGCGUGUUCUCCUCUCCUUCCGGAUUGAAUCGAGAGACGCGCAAGAAGACUUGCGUCAUAUUUUACACUCGUAGAGAACAUGACGAUAUUAACACACACGCAUGACAUUUCUCGAACAUCUCACACAUUGCAUUGGUUUGUAGUCGUCGGAAAGCAUGACAGAUCAAACGGAUUACCCGCAAUCACCUCGCCAUAUGGAUGCACUCGUCAUCGUCGCACUCGCACAUCAACACGUCAUCCAACACGCCACGAGUAGUUUUCGAGUAGAGUCACACUUGAGAGCAACCGCACACAAUGCACAUAUACACAGAGAGACACGCGUCAUGUUUCGUAGGUGUGAUGAUGAUGAUGAUUUCUAAGUAGUGGUACUUUUUUUAUUUAGUAGAAUUUGUAUUUAUCGAUUUAAUUAUGCAUUUAGGUAGAACACAUUUUAGAUGACGCUUCUUAUCUAGAUACGCUAUAAGUAGUCAUUGUUAGUGGAUAUAGAUAUAAAUAUAAAUAUUGUGUUAGUUAAAGCGUUUAUAACUCAAGAACAGUUGGGUUGAUUUUGAUGAUUUAUGACUUUUUGGAUUCAUCUUGAUCCAGAAUAGCAGAAUAAGUAAUAAAACAUUCAAAAUUGUGAUCUAAAGGGUGUUAAAUAUGGGGUGAAACUUGCUAUAGAGAUUUUAUGAUACUUACAGUUGAAUAAUUCAAUCAGAGAUGGCGCUACAGUAUAUUAAUCGUGACUAAAGUGCUAUUUAGCGCACUUAAUAAUUAAUAUAUUAUUAAGUCGUAA